GUGGAUAUUUGUUUCCUUUCUCUUGUAUGUAACGACAAGAAAUCGCGCUCCGUGCAAAAACUUCAUAACCCUAACUUUCAGGCUCUACCUUUCCGAUUCUUGCGUUUGGGGUCAAAAUGGCGGAUUCUCCUGGAAAAAGGAAUUCACAGUCACUUUCCCCUUGGAGAGAACAGUCAAGGUCUAGGUCAGGAUCACGUUCCAGGUUAAGAUCUAGAUCAUUGUCCCGGCUGAGGCAUAGAUCCCGGUCCCGAAGUCAUGGCAGAUCAAGGUCUAGAAGCCGUGGCAGG
rnacentral:misc_RNA from 1 species